GCUUACGGCCACACCGCCUGGUUCAGACGAUCUCGUUUGAUCUCGGAAGAUAAGAUAGGGUGGGCCUGGUUAGUACCUGGAUGGGAGACCGCCUGGGAAUACCAGGUGCUGUAAGCU
rnacentral:rRNA from 1 species